UAAUAAGAAGCGAUAUAAAUAGCUUUCAGUUUCGACCUGAAAAAAGGUAAAUUACCCUUAUUAA
rnacentral:tRNA from 1 species